CCGCGCUGGUGCGAGAAGGCGUAGGCGGAGCGGCGGGAGGACACGCCCCGGCGGAACACGUGCUGCCGCCGCUUCCACUGCUCCUCGGCUUUCAAGCGCUUGCGGUGCUUCUGAAUCUGCGGGCGGCAGAGACAUGGAAGAGUACCCAUUGAAGAAGGAGUACCAGAAAUGAACCAGAGUGAAUGCGAAGUUCUUAUAGAAGAAGUAGCGCAGGAACUUGCACAUCCGUAUGUAGGACCACCGGCCGUGCACCAGCAGCAGCCUCUGCAAAUAUCGGAACUGGGCGAAGGAGUAGUCGCUUGACAUGACCGCCUGCAUGCCUUCUUGCCCACUUAUGCCAACGCCGAUGUGGGCAGCUGUGGGGCAGAGGGAGCACAUACGUGAAUCAUAAGCUAAUUUUAAGGUGAAACAUUGAGGUGAUGAAAAUGUUUCCACGGCAAAACACAGAAACACAUUCUUGGAACAAUACACGUGAAGACUCCUGCUCACCGCCCCACCCAAGCUUCUGAACUCGAUGUCCAAUACGGGUUUGCUCAAAAGAGCACACGCUGGGGCCUCUAAAAGGUAUUUGUGGAAGGAUCUCAGCACAGUUCAUAUCCUCUCUCCAGCUGCCUGGAUGUUGAUAGACAAAGGCUGCUCAACUGAAAAGCCCUUCACAGGAGCCUCAAAGCUAGAAGCUCCUCCACCGGGUGCCCAGUAAACUGGAACAGCUCGCAAAAGCUCUAGCACCAUCAUUAGAAAGAAGACUAACCAUGACCAUCAACUCCCUCAUCAUCUUAUCACUUCUCGGCCUUUGGGCUAAGCUCAAGCGUAAGUCCCUCAUCAUCCUACCAGACUAGGCAUGUGUGUCUGCCCACAGCUUCUGGCCUUGGGACAGCCUGGGGGAGGUGUUGUAAGGAAAUGAUUUGAGAAAGAAAUAUAGCUGUCAGGACAGCACCGCCUAAGAAUUUCUGCAACACAUUCUCAGCUUUUUAACAGGACACGGCUCUUCCUGAUGCCCUUCCGGGUCCGCUGUGCCCCUGGGUUCUCGAGGGUUCAGGAGAAGCUAUGCUUUGAAAUAUCCCGCCCCAUCCAGACAAGUCUAGAGCAGGUAAGCACGGAGGACUCCCCAAGGAAUGGAGAUAAAUGGCCCCUGAAAGAGUAAAUAAAGGCCCCAAGCUCCCCUAACUCUAAAGUCUGCGCAAAAUAAGACCAAAUCAUGAUAACUUGGAACUACCUGGGUUCUCCUGCUUCAUUUAAAUGUGAGGAAAACUGUCUGAGGGGACAGUCAGCUCCCAUUUCUCCCCAUCUGCCAGGUCUACUGCCUCUAGUUUCGCCUUUACUUACUUUAUAUCUUCCCCAUAGCAGAUAGUGGUGUCUUCAGUCAGAAGUUCACACGCAAAUCCUAUAUUUUCAGCAGUUUCUACAACAGAAAAAUAUUAAGUGAGGGUAUGUGUUGUAGUGAGUGCUGUGUAUUGUGUAAGACUGAUGAAUCAUAGACCUA